rnacentral:lncRNA from 1 species
CUUCAGAUGCGACAGCCUUAGAUUGCGCAGCCAUCUCGGAGAUCUCAAACCCUGCAACGAUCGAUGGUUGGCGACGGGAAAAAAUUAAAAAGGCUUAAACACCAACGAAUACAUAAAUUCAUAAAAAUCACAUCUAGGGUUUACAUUUGGAAUUAGCGUGGAAGCCUUACCUGUUGAAAACCUCCCUCUCUCCCCCCGAUCUGCCUCUGCGCGCGCAUGGGCGCCAGGAAAACCCUUGAAUUGGCGACCCUCUGCAAUGGGCCGGGUGCGGGCCAGGUCGAACCGACCGAUCCAGCAGAAGAACUAGCCUAAUCAAGCCGGACACCUGUAGAUAGGCUUUUUUUUUCUUUUUUUUUUAGCAAUAUCUCAGAAUUUAAAUUCUGGAAACUUACAGGACAAACCUUUAC